rnacentral:tRNA from 1 species
AUCCAAAUAGCUUAUA